ensembl:lncRNA
GGCUUAAGGUGUUCUUAAGGUGUAUCUUCCCAGCCCCAGCUGUGGAAUCAGCCAUUUUUUUCCCAGGGAAUCUUGAUUCCUUUGAAUGGAAAAUGAUUUUAAGAAAUCAAGAUCUGGGUGCUGAGUGCCCAUUGCUACUGGAAUGUCAUUGCUUCUAGGCUUUUCUUGGCAGACAGAGCAAGGAAAUAACUGUAGAUAAAGAUAUAUGGAAAUAUUGAGGGAGAUGGAGAUAGAUGAUAUAAAUAAUUAAAAAUCAUGAAUUCAUAGUAGCCCCAUAAAUUUUAUUCUCAUCUCCCUUUUUCAUAUUUUUAACUCUCUGAGAAAAUUUUAAACUUUCUCUUUGCUUUGUUUUGUUCCAUCCAGUGAUCCUCUUGAUGUAAGUCUGUUUUUGUUAUUUCCUGGAGACAGACUCCCUUCUGGUGUCAAAGCUUCCUUCUCAGAGCUUUUCUCUCUGUCCCAAGGCUCAUGGAGCCAGCUGCCUUCAGGGCCUGUGCAUUUCUGUGCAGAACUUGGAAGUUAAGAAGACCAAUAGCAGUUUACCCGUACUGAGCCAGAGGCCUAUACGCGGGGAUAGGGCCACAAUGAUGGAGUUGUUCCACUUGGAGACUCAGGAGGAAAAAAUUGGAGAAGGGGAUGCUUGAACUGUGUCUUCAAGGUGAAGAGGUUUUUGUUCCUUCCGUGGGACCGUCUGCCUUCCUGUGUCAUGUCGUGAGAGGUGGGCCCACCUAGGGAAUACCAGUGGCUUGAGUGGCCAGGUCAAGUCAGUGGACGGCCCAUGGAGUGGUGGCAGGAGCUGGAUGUGGCCAGGUCAAGUCAGUGGACGGCCCAUGGAGUGGUGAGCAGGAGCUGGAUGUGGCCAGGUCAAGUCAGUGGACGGCCCAUGGAGUGGUGGCAGGAGCUGGAUGUGGCCAGGUCAAGUCAGUGGACGGCCCAUGGAGUGGUGGCAAGAGCUGGGUCACACCGUGCCUGUCACCUGUGGUGCUCUUUGAGCAUGACCCUGCAGGUGUGGGGAGCUCCUGGAAGGACUUAAGCAGGAGAUCGCAUGGUCACAUUUGUGAUGUAGACACAUCAGAAGAUACAAGGCUGGAGGCACAGAGAGUCAGCCAGAGUGCUGAGGAGGGUAGUAGUAAUGGAGUCCAGGCUCAGGGAGAGGAGUCAGUGGCAGCAAAGAGCCCCUGGGGGCUGCUCACUGAUACGACGAAAGGCCUGAGGAAGAGAGUGGUAGCUGGCAUGACCCAUGAGCUUCUGACCUGCAUUUCAGGGUAGAU